ACCCACGAUACAUCUUACCAUUUCUUGUAUAUUAUUCUUUUACAGGUGUUGCAUGGCUGUUUUUAGUUCGUGUUGUGAAACGUUAGGUUCAUUCCGCUAACGAACGCAAUCCUUGUCUUUAGUUAAAUAACUAAGGAAGUAUCCUUCCAGAAGAAGGAAUAAUUAGGAUGAAGACAAGUCCUCAUGACCCUUAUGAAAUGGGCUACAGACGUGCCACAAAGAUUUCUACAAAAGGGAGCAAAGAUAUACCCAAGUCAGAGCUAAUCCUUAAAAGAA
rnacentral:rRNA from 1 species